rnacentral:rRNA from 1 species
GAUGAACGCUGGCGGCGUGCCUAAUACAUGCAAGUCGAGCGAAUGGAUUAAGAGCUUGCUCUUAUGAAGUUAGCGGCGGACGGGUGAGUAACACGUGGGUAACCUGCCCAUAAGACUGGGAUAACUCCGGGAAACCGGGGCUAAUACCGGAUAACAUUUUGAACCGCAUGGCUCGAAAUUGAAAGGCGGCUUCGGCUGUCACUUAUGGAUGGACCCGCGUCGCAUUAGCUAGUUGGUGAGGUAACGGCUCACCAAGGCAACGAUGGGUAGCCGACCUGAGAGGGUGGUCGGCCACACUGGGACUGAGACACGGCCCAGACUCCUACUGGAGGCAGCAGUAGGGAAUAUUCCGCAAUGGACGAAAGUCUGACGGAGCAACGCCGCGUGAGUGAUGAAGGCUUUCGGGUCGUAAAACUCUGUUGUUAGGGAAGAACAAGUGCUAGUUGAAUAAGCUGGCACCUUGACGGUACCUAACCAGAAAGCCACGGCUAACUACGUGCCAGCAGCCGCGGUAA